rnacentral:rRNA from 1 species
AGCGAACGCUGGCGGUAGGCCUAACACAUGCAAGUCGAACGGCAGCACAGUAAGAGCUUGCUCUUACGGGUGGCGAGUGGCGGACGGGUGAGGAAUACAUCGGAAUCUACUUUUUCGUGGGGGAUAACGUAGGGAAACUUACGCUAAUACCGCAUACGACCUACGGGUGAAAGCAGGGGAUCUUCGGACCUUGCGCGAUUGAAUGAGCCGAUGUCGGAUUAGCUAGUUGGCGGGGUAAAGGCCCACCAAGGCGACGAUCCGUAGCAGGUCUGAGAGGAUGGUCAACCACACUGGAACGGAGACACGGUCCAGACGCCUACGGGAGGAAGCAGGGGGGAAGAUUGGAGAACGGGGGCAAGCCUGAUCCAGCCAUACCGCGUGGGUGAAGAAGGCCUUCGGGUUGUAAAGCCCUUUUUUUGGGAGAGAAAAGCAGCAGGUUAAUACCCCGCCGUUCUGACGGUACCCAAAGAAGAAGCACCGGCUAACUUCGUG